CACCCGCCCCGGGCCGAAUUGGCGGCAGGUGCGGGCGGGGUUGGUGGGGUCACGGACUGUGCCCGUGUGUGUGUGUGUGUGUGGGCGAGGAGGUGGCUCGAGCAAGGAUUCCUCCCCAUCCGGGGACGCGGCAGGACGCUCCGCACGGACACACCGGCCGGCUUCCUUGACAGAAACGAUGUAGGCAAAAAGGAAAACCCGGGCCCCGCGGAGGUCAGGAGCGAAUCGGGCAGGCGGGACUGCUGGCACCGCCACAAGCCAGGAUCGUGGCUUUUCAGUAUUUCCGCGGACGGGAGAAAUAUCAAAUCUCAUGUUUUAGAGGGAAAUGAUUCUUCUGGAGUCUUCUUGCUAUCUUCCUGCUAAGUUUGAGCAGAGAAGCCUCAUUUCUACAUCAAAGUCCGUUCAGGUUCCAUACUAAGCAGUACAAGAUGAGGAGAGGCACUGCCACAGAACUAAACAGAGUACAGCUGAACACAGCUUAGUGCCUGCACCAGUGGAAACCAC